rnacentral:hammerhead_ribozyme from 1 species
AUCCAUCUGACGAGUCACAAAUAGGUCGAAACGUGCGUCCUGGAU